rnacentral:tRNA from 1 species
UGGCAGGUAGCUCAAGUGGUAGAGCGCCAACAUAGCCUGAAAAGGACGAAGAAUUUAGGGUUAUCGCUGCUAACGAUCCCCCCCUUAAUUCACCGGAGAUGCGGGUUCAAAUCCCGCCCCGCUAC